rnacentral:rRNA from 1 species
UACGGGGGGGGCAAGCGUUGUUCGGAAUUACUGGGCGUAAAGGGCUCGUAGGUGGCCAACUAAGUCAGACGUGAAAUCCCUCGGCUUAACCGGGGAACUGCGUCUGAUACUGGAUGGCUUGAGUUUGGGAGAGGGACGCGGAAUUCCAGGUGUAGCAGUGAAAUGCGUAGAGAUGCGGAGGAACACCGAUGGCGAAGGCAGCCCCCUGGGCCAACACUGACGCUCAGGCACGAAAGCGUGGGGAGCGAACAGG